AGAAUCAACGCUGGCGGCGUGCCUAAUACAUGCAAGUCGAACGCGAAAGUCCCGCAAGGGAUGAGUAGAGUGGCAAACGGGUGAGUAACGCGUGGGUGACCUGCCUUCGAGUGGGGGAUAACGUUUCGAAAGGAACGCUAAUACCGCAUGACAUCCCGCCUUUUAACAGGUGGAGAUCAAAGCCGGGGAUCGCAAGACCUGGCGCUUGAAGAGGGGCCCGCGUCCGAUUAGCUAGUUGGUGGGUAACGGCUCACCAAGGCAACGAUCGGUA
rnacentral:rRNA from 1 species